rnacentral:rRNA from 1 species
CACUGGUCUAGCGCGCCUGCGCCGAAAAUAUAACGGGGCUCAAGUAUUACACCGAAGCUAUGGAUUGUAGUUUACUACAAUGGUAGGGGAGCGUUCUAUACAGAAUGAAGCGGAAUCGAAAGGGUCCGUGGACCGUAUAGAAGUGAUUAUGUUGGCAUGAGUAGCGAAAAAACGGGCGAGAAACCCGUUCGCCGAAAACCCAAGGUUUCCGUGGCCAUGUUAAUCAGCCACGGGUUAGUCGGCUCCUAAGGUGAGGCAGAAAUGCGUAGUCGAAGGAAAACUGGUUAAUAUUCCAGUACUUGAGUGUACUGCGAUGGGGUGACGCAGAAAGAUAGGCCGGCCUACUGUUGGAAUAGUAGGUUUAAGGAUGUAGAUGGGGGAGAUAGGAAAAUCCGUUUCCCUGUAUAACAUUGAGAUCCGACGACGUCGAGCGCAAGCUCAAUAAGCGGUUGAUUCUAGGCUGCCAAGAAAAACCUCUAAGCAUCAGGUGCAUUCAAACCGUACCAAAACCGACACAGGUGUGCGAGAUGAGUAUUCUAAGGCGCUUGAGAGAAAUCAUGUUAAGGAACUCUGCAAAAUGAGUCCGUAACUUCGGGAUAAGGACUACCCGUCUGGUGAGACCCUUUACGGGUGGAGCUAAGAUGGGUCACAGAAGAGAGGCCCAGGCGACUGUUUACCAAAAACACAGCACUAUGCAAACACGUGAGUGGAAGUAUAUGGUGUGACUCCUGCCCGGUGCCGGAAGGUUAAGAGGAGGGGUUAGUCUUUUAGACGAAGCUCUGAAUUGAAGCCCCGGUAAACGGCGGCCGUAACUAUAACGGUCCUAAGGUAGCGAAAUUCCUUGUCGGGUAAGUUCCGACCUGCACGAAUGGAGUAACGAUCUGGGCGCUGUCUCAACGUGAUCCUCAGCGAAAUUGAAAUAGCGGUGAAGAUACCGUUAACCCGCGGCAAGACGGAAAGACCCCGUGAACCUUUACUGCAGCUUGGCAUUGAAUCUUGGAGUAUUGUGUGCAGGAUAGGUGGGAGACUUUGAAGGUGUGACGCUAGUCAUGCCUGAGUCGUUGUUGAGAUACCACCCUCUGUAUUUUAGGAUUCUAACUUAGGUCCCUUAUCGGGAUUAAGGACAGUGUCUGGUAGGCGGUUUGACUGGGGCGGUCACCUCCCAAAGAGUAACGGAGGUGCGCUAAGGUUCCCUCAGACUGAUUGGAAACCAGUCGUAGAGUGCAAAGGCAUAAGGGAGGUUGACUGCGAGAGAGACAUUUCGAGCAGGUACGAAAGUAGGUCUUAGUGAUC